rnacentral:rRNA from 2 species
AUAAGCGGAGGAAAAGAAACCAACCGGGAUUGCCCUAGUAACGGCGAGUGAAGCGGCAACAGCUCAAAUUUGAAAUCUGGGGUCUUGCGGCCUCCGAGUUGUAGUUUGCAGAGGGAGCCUCGGAGGGCUUGUCGGUCCAAGUGCCUUGGAACAGGAUACCGCAGAGGGUGAGAGUCCCGUAUCCGGCCGACGUAGCGCUCCGUGUGAGGCCUCUUCGACGAGUCGAGUUGUUUGGGAAUGCAGCUCCAAGCGGGUGGUAAAUUCCAUCUAAAGCUAAAUACUGGCCAGAGACCGAUAGCGAACAAGUAGAGUGAUCGAAAGAUGAAAAGCACUUUGAAAAGAGAGUCAAACAGUACGUGAAAUUGUUGAAAGGGAAGCGCAUGGGGGCAGACUUGGCCGUGGGGUUCAGGGUGUCCUUUUUGGCGCCUGUAUUUCCCCGCGGACAGGCCAGCAUCGGUUCUGGGGGCCGGACAAAGGCGACGGGAACGUGGCUCUCCUCGGAGAGUGUUAUAGCCCGACGUGCAAUGCGGCCACCUGGGACCGAGGACCGCGCCUUGUGCAAGGAUGCUGGCGUAAUGGCCUCAUGCGGCCCGUCUUGAAACACGGACCAAGGAGUCUAACAUCUAUGCGAGUGUUUGGGUUUGAAGCCCGGACGCGCAAUGAAAGUGAACGGAGGUGGGAGCAUUCGUGCGCACCAUCGACCGAUCCGGACGUUUUCUGAAGGAUUUGAGUAAGAGCAUAGCUGUUGGGACCCGAAAGAUGGUGAACUAUGCGUGAAUAGGGUGAAGCCAGAGGAAACUCUGGUGGAGGCUCGCAGCGGUUCUGACGUGCAAAUCGAUCGUCAAAUUUGCGUAUAGGGGCGAAAGACUAAUCGAACCAUCUAGUAGCUGGU